AAAGAGGAGGUUCUUACCUUCUAUGACCUGAGCUGGUAGACCGGCAGGGAGCAAUGAACCCAAAAGCAGCAGGAGCAAAUUGCAGGGCACCCUGGAGUGACUGGAGAAAAUUGGGAAAGAGGGAGAGGAAGGAAGCCAGAGAACCCACCAUCUUCCAGCUCCUCUUCUUCUACCUCACAGCUAAGUCCAGGACCUCAUGCUCCUCCUAUAUUUUUGUCUGUCCUCAGAUUUCCCAUCAAAUGACAGCAAUACAAUCACCACGACCCGGGAAGCUUCCUCAGCAACUCAUUCUCCCUCUGAGGGCUGCAUUCCCUUUGUGGUUAACAUCCUCUGAUAAAAAGCAAUGAUUCUUUUUAAUGUUCACGGCUGUUUUGGGAAAUUGCGGCAGCUCCUGUCUCAGCGGGGCUGACACAGGAGGAACUUCCCAAAAGGAAUAGCAGUUUCACAAAAGAGCAUUAAAUCAAGUGUUUAAGUUGGGCUGACAUGAGGGAGAGCUUUCCCACAGGAUCAGACUCUUCAUUCUCACUUGCAUUUCUUGGUUUUAAGGAUGCCUUCUGGUUUACUGAACAUUGUCUAAAGUUGUGUAUGUUAAUAGGCAAAUCAUAAAUGAUUUUCUAAAAAUUAAGUAAAGAUUUAUUCUAGCCUAA